CCUACGGGGGGCUGCAGUGGGGAAUAUUGGACAAUGGGGGCAACCCUGAUCCAGCCAUGCCGCGUGUGUGAAGAAGGCCCUCGGGUUGUAAAGCACUUUCAGUGAGGAAGAACGCCUGGUGGUUAAUACCCAUCAGGAAAGACAUCACUCACAGAAGAAGCACCGGCUAACUCCGUGCCAGCAGCCGCGGUAAUACGGAGGGUGCGAGCGUUAAUCGGAAUUACUGGGCGUAAAGCGCGCGUAGGUGGCUUGAUAAGCCGGUUGUGAAAGCCCCGGGCUCAACCUGGGAACGGCAUCCGGAACUGUCAAGCUAGAGUGCAGGAGAGGAAGGUAGAAUUCCCGGUGUAGCGGUGAAAUGCGUAGAGAUCGGGAGGAAUACCAGUGGCGAAGGCGGCCUUCUGGACUGACACUGACACUGAGGUGCGAAAGCUUGGGUAGCAAACAGGAUUAGAUACCCGUGUAGUC
rnacentral:rRNA from 1 species